rnacentral:rRNA from 1 species
CCUACGGGAGGCAGCAGUGAGGAAUAUUGGUCAAUGGGCGGGAGCCUGAACCAGCCAAGUCGCGUGAGGGAAGACGGUCCUAUGGAUUGUAAACCUCUUUAGGCGGGGAGCAAUGCCGGGCACGCGUGCCCGGCGGGAGAGUACCCGCAGAAUAAGCAUCGGCUAACUCCGUGCCAGCAGCCGCGGUAAUACGGGGGAUGCGAGCGUUAUCCGGAUUUAUUGGGUUUAAAGGUUGCGUGGGCGGGUUUUUAAGUUAGCGGUAAAAUGUCCGGGCUCAACCCGGGCCGGCCGUUGAAACUGGGGAUCGGGAGUGGGCGAGAGGUAUGCGGAAUGCGUGGUGUAGCGGUGAAAUGCAUAGAUAUCACGCAGAACUCCGAUUGCGAAGGCAGCAUACCGGCGCCCGACUGACGCUGAGGCACGAAAGCGUGGGGAGCGAACAGGAUUAGAUACCCGGGUAGUC